rnacentral:pre_miRNA from 1 species
AUCGUACUCCCUCCGUCCGGAAAUACUUGUCCUAGAAAUAGAUAAAAUGGAUGUAUCUAUAACUAAAAUAAGUCUAGAUACAACCAUUUCGAGGACAAGUAUUUUCGGACGGAGAGAGUACUAU